GUUUCAAAUGCACGAAACGUUCAAUUACGAAACCAAAGCUCUCACUCACAAGAACUACGGAUCCAAACUCGCUUCGAUUUCGCGCAAACAAACAUGAACAACAUGGCCAACAUGAAUUCAGCCUUCAACCUCACUUCAAUUUCACACAAACAACCACAAGAACUCAAGAAUUCGCUUCCACCACUCCAUAGAAGAACCAAGAACAACAAUUAUAUCCGCGUGGAAAUUCAACAUCAAAUCAAAUUCAAAACCAAAAUUGAAAUCACUUAUAUAAUUGAAUCCAUCAUUUUCGUUCUUGUACCUGGAUAAAGAAAUUAAAGGGAGACAAAUAGCCUACCGGAAUCACGCUUCAACACGGUGGCUCAGGUAAUUGAGGUUGAAAGAUCGAAGAGCGUGGAUUAUUGUAAGAGUCUGAGAGUGAAGAAUGAAGAGUGUCCAAAUUGUGAAGAGUGAAGAAAAUGGUUUUUUGUGAUGAAUGAGAAGGAAAGUGAAAGGGUCCCAUGAGAAUUGAAGUGAAUGGUUUUUUUAUAUGCCUUUCUUUCUCUAUGCAAUGCUUUUGUUUAUGUUCGGAGCUUCCCCUUUUAGCUUUUUUAUGUUUUGAUUCUGUUAUCUUUGGUUACAAGUUGUGGAGAAAUUGUUAGAGGUUAGUGAGAGUUAGUUAGGGGAAAAUGAAGUUAGUUGGAGAAUUCAAUUAGGUUAGUUAAAGGUGAGUUGGAGUCAGUUAGUGGUUGGAUUUGAAUUCAGUUAGAGUUAGGUCCCUUGGAGGAGUGAAGUUAACUAGUUUUUAAGGUUAAGAGAUAAAUGCAGGGUACAUGAAUUGGCUUUUAUUUUUUCCUGCGUUUGGAUAAUGAUGUAGGGUUCUUAUUGGUUUUCUUGUGGAAUUGUUUAUGCAGGUUGGAGAAAAUGGUUUUUAUUAUGGAAAUUUGAGUUUUAUUUGCCAUGAGAAUAUGUUUUUGUUGAAUCUGGCAGGCGCUUGGAAUGUAUUUGCUAGCUUGGAAUGGAUUGGAGCUUGCUAGGGACUUGUUGCAAUGGAUUGAUGUGUAUCAAAGGCCAUGUUAAUUUUGGGUUGUGAUCUUGGAUUGUGUUAUAAUCUUUAUAAUUGAUCACGACUUUAUGAGUUUA